rnacentral:snRNA from 1 species
GGAUCUGAGGAGGGUCUGGCUGUGUGUGACAUCUGUCACCCCACUGAUUGCCAGGCUUGAUCUGACUGAGCUGGCUGGCUACUUAAGUCUCCCCCUCAUCCCUCAUUGGUCCAUGUGUGUCCCUCUUGAAGAAGCAAUACUCAAUGGAAGAGGGCAGGGCCUUCCCUAAAUAGGGCAAGACAAGACGAUGGGUUUUGGUUAAAGAUAGCUGUACUCACCUGCUUGAAUCUCCAACAAGUUCUUAAGAACCCAGAGAGAGUCUCUUGUAGUGACGGCAUAUACAACUGCUAAGUCCUAAUGGCCAUAGAAGAGUGGGAAAAUCUAAGAAGAGAUUUUUUCUUUCUAU